rnacentral:rRNA from 1 species
AACGAACGCUGGCGGCAGGCCUAACACAUGCAAGUCGAACGCCGUAGCAAUACGGAGUGGCAGACGGGUGCGUAACGCGUGGGAACAUACCCUUUGGUUCGGAAUAACUCAGGGGAAACUUGAGCUAAUACCGGAUACGUCCGAGAGGAGAAAGAUUUAUCGCCGAAGGAUUGGCCCGCGUCUGAUUAGCUAGUUGGUGAGGUAACGGCUCACCAAGGCGACGAUCAGUAGCGGUCUGAGAGGAUGAUCAGCCACACUGGGACUGAGACACGGCCCAGACUCCUACGGGAGGCAGCAGUGGGGAAUAUUGGACAAUGGGCGCAAGCCUGAUCCAGCCAUGCCGCGUGAGUGAUGAAGGCCUUAGGGUUGUAAAGCUCUUUUACCCGGGAAGAUAAUG